AGCAGCCAACCCUUACCCUAGGCACUCCAACAAGGAAGACGCCACGUCAAAAUGAUCAGAAAGGGACAGCUAACCUCUCGGGGCUAGAGUUUGUUUCGAAAGGGAAGGUGUUAGACUACAUGGCGGAGCUGGCCUCCUGGGCCUAAGAUUCCCCAAGCCCCUCAUUUCUGUGACGGAAGGAAGACACAGUAAGGUCAGCAGCAGGGACACCCCAUCCUGUCCUC